GUCCAACCACUUUAUCCAUUUACACGUGAAACCCUUUUAUCCAUUUACUAUGUUGAUAGAAGUUACAUAAAGUGGCAGUGACGAGGGUGUUUCAGUUUCUGGGCUAACCAUUUCUGGCAUGGAAGUACCCAACCCAUAUCUUGGCAUGGCAACACUGUGUAUGCCCUGUGAUUGAGGGUUCUCUCUCCCUUACGAUCAGUAUUUCCAGCCAUUGGGAGGCUGGAUUCUGUUUUGCCUUUUCAUAGAACACAUCUGAGCCCCAUUUUCAUGGAAAGAGUGAAAAAAGUAAUAUUUUCGUGAUUUAUUCUACACCCCACACCAACACAUGACUUCUUCCUCUUCUAUUUUCUGCUGCUUAUUACUAACUUGCAGAAAGUAGCUUAACUCUUUUUUCACUUUGAGUACCUAGAAAACAUAGGGUAGUUCCUACAGGACCAGUCACAGGGCUAUAGUAUAUGAUUGAGCCUUAGUAGUAGUUCACUACUUCUUGUUGAUGCUAUUUAUUCAAACAAGUGAGUUAAUUUGUGGAUUUAAAGUGCUCUUGUUGUUGGAUUAUGUUGUGUUCAGAAUUUGUGCGGCUUUCAGUACAAGUUUUAAGUUAGGAUAUCAAUGUUCUGAAAGAAAACAGGUACUCCAACCACUUUACCCAUUUACACGUGAUACACCUUUAUCCAUUUAUAUAAGUGUUUGGUGACAUAUACUGAUGUUGAGACUCAAUACUAAUAUAUUGGUAUGUGAAAACAUACAUCCACAUAAUGCAUAAGCCACAUAAUCAGAGAACCUAUGGUUCUCUCCCUGUUUUAGUUCCAUUCUAUGGCUACAAACACUAGUUUCAGCAUUGAUAACCAAAUAAUCCAACAACCCUUUGAAAUAAACAGAAAGGAAAAAAGAUUUAAAGCAGUUCUUUGCGUUGCUCCUACUGCUGAUAAUGAUGUUGUAAAGGGGUUGUGAUGAUUGCAUCCUUGAUUUCUGGACUAUGUUCAAUGAUAGAACCGAGAAUAACACGUCCCAUAUAUUGGCAGGGUGACCCGGUUAUGGCUUUGAAUAGAAAACUGAUGGUGUCUGGAGCCAUGGAAGUGUUUCUCCUCUUUUGCUUUGUUGUAAAAUAGCAAAUCUGAGCCUGCUAUUACCUGUUUUUUUCUCUUGGAUGGUGAUUCUUGUCGAGUCGAAAAACCAACAGACCCUUGUGGUCCAGUCCUUCUCGGAAACUCGUGUAUAGUAAGAUUUUAAUACACUUGACUGCAUUUUUUAAAAUAGGAGUCCUUCUCGGAAACUCGUGUAUAGUAAGAUUUUAAUACACUUGACUGCCUUUUUUAAAAUAGGACAGUCUUUUUUUUUGUGUGUGUGUAUGUGUUACUGUGUUGAUAGAAGUUACAUAAAGUGGCAGUGAUGAGGGUGUUUCUGUUUCUAGGCUAACCAUUUCUGGCAUGGAAGUACCCAACCCAUAUCUUGGCGUGGCAACACUGUGUAUGCCCUGUGAUUGAGGCUUCUCUCUCCCCUACAAUCAGUGUUUUCAGCCAUGGGGUGGCUGGAUUCUGUUUUGCCUUUUCAUGGAUCACAUCUGAGCCCCAUUUCCAUGAAAAGAGUGAAAAAAAGUACUCUUUUUUGUGAUUUAUUCUACAUCCCACAGCAACACAUGACUUCUUCUUUUUUUAUUUUCUUCUACUUAUUACUAACUUGCAGAAAGUACCUUAACUAUUUAUUCACUUUGAGUACCUAGAAAAUACAGGGUAGUUCCUAUAGGACCAGUCACAAGGCUAUAGUAUAUGACGAACCUUAU
rnacentral:lncRNA from 1 species